UCCCUUACACAUUUAAUGAUAACCUCAAAAUAGCCACUGCAAUUUCUGAAUUUAGUAAAUUGUCCAGAGAACAGACACCAAAGUAACACUUGAAUUUACUUAAAACUGAUGAUUAUAUGAUUUAUUUUCUAAUUUCUAAAUUUGUAUUAACAACUUUACACCACAAUGAAAAGUGAAAGACGCUUUUGGCUGUGGACAGCGACUGUGUUGUUAUUGUGUUUUCCAACCAAAGCUGAUUUGGAAAUUGAAAUCCUAAUAUAUCAUAUGUUAAAACAAAGGCAUUGCUACCCCAACCUCAAGGUGGACCGCGAUCUAUGCGUUGAAUAUAACAUAUAUGCCAAAGUAUGUUGAUUAAUUUCCCACUUUGUUGGACAUUCGUUUAAAGCUGUCAAACAAAAUUUAGGAACUGGUAACAUAAGAUUCCUUAGAUCGCACGGAUUCAAAAGUAUAUGGGAAAAAUGUGUGCAUCAACCAAAAAAAGACUUUAUAGGAAAGUUAUGCAGUGAAGGCACCUGUACGAAUUAAAUAAACUAAUACACCAAAAGAAUAAAAAGUCACUAGAUAUAAGACUGAUGAAAAUUGACGGAUUGUUAAUUCAUGUGCCGUCGGCAGUUAGCUUAGACCUCUUCGAACAUAACGUUAGCCUAGGAAAUGCACUCUUGAUUAACUUGGUUGCUUAUAGUCUGAUCUUUAUGAAAUUUUCAGGCCAUAAAUAUGAUAUAGAAAAGCCGGGAUACCCCAAAGCGCAAGGAUGUAACUGCAAAAGCUGGAUCAUCUUAGCUCCUCGGUUAGUGAAGAAUAUACUUUAUGGGAUCGAAGAUGAUUCUUUCAUCUGUUCAAAAUUAAAAUUAAAAUAGCCGACCGUGGUUAAUUUAGAUAUUUGAACUUUCCAGAGAAAAUGUGCUAAAAGACGACAUCAAAGUAAUCACUUG